GUAUUAACAAAUAUAUAUGAACGUAUUAGAAUUUUUAGAAUUUUGGAAGGAUAUGGAUUUGCAAACUAUAGAUUUUUUGGAGGAAUAAAUCUAAGCUAUUAAAAAUAAGCAACCAAUUCACUUAAAGCGUACAGAUAUAGCUUCCACGGGUCUCGAUUGUGACUCGGCCUAAUCAGUUUCACGCCACUUCGAACAUGACUCGGCCCACAUGGCCUUCCGCCACAGGGCAGAAUGCUGGCUCAUUUAAGCCAACAAUCCCCUCUCCAGCAUCUGCACACAUUUGCAGCAUGCGGGAAUCAAAUCCGUGACCUCUGACUCUGAUGCCACUUGUCAGAUUGUUGGCGCUAAUCAUUAAUCCCAAAAGCUCGAGCUGUUAGAAAUACGCAACCAAUUCACUUAAAACGUACAGAUACAACGCCCACGGAUCUCGAUUGUGAUUCGGCCCGAUCUGCCUCACACUGCUUCGAACAUGACUCAGCCCAACCUAGCCUUACGCAAUUUUGAACAUAAUUCGGCCCGCAUGGCCUCCUGCUAUAGAGCAAGAUGCUGGCCCAUUUAAGCGAACACUAUGGAAUUAAUACAUACAAAUAUAAU
rnacentral:lncRNA from 1 species